rnacentral:rRNA from 1 species
AUGGCUUGCUUCGCGCACGUCCUAUCCUGUAUGCCUCAAAGCCUUUGCUUUUGCCAGAUCCAAUGCUCGCGGGUUCGGAGGCGGUGCCACCCUCCGACGGCAGUUGUAGCCCCGCCAACCCCCUUCCGACAUGGCGACUCCGACCAGCGUUGGCUUCCUCAUCUUCGUUUCCAGAUACGGUGGCUAUGGGAUUGCUCAGCCUCAGGCCAGGGAGAAAUCCCUGCUCGGCUUGCCGAUGUUGGCAGCGACGGCGUCUGCGGAUGUCGUUUCCUUCUUGGAGGCGCUGUCAAGGCCCUCGGUUGCGCCCCUCUUCGAGCUCAGGGGAAACCCUAG